CCUACGGGAGGCAGCAGUGAGGAAUAUUGGUCAAUGGGCGGGAGCCUGAACCAGCCAAGUCGCGUGAGGGAAGACGGUCCUAUGAGUUGUAAACCGCUUUUGUCGGGGAGCAAAAGACGCCACGCGUGGCGUUCCGAGAGUACUCGAAGAAAAAGCAUCGGCUAACUCCGUGCCAGCAGCCGCGGUAAUACGGAGGAUGCGAGCGUUAUCCGGAUUUAUUGGGUUUAACGGGUGCGCAGGCGGAAGAUUAAGUCAGCGGUAAAAUUGGGGGGCUAAACCCCGUCGAGCCGUUGAAACUGGUUUUCUUGAGUGUGUGAGAGGUAUGCGGAAUGCGUGGUGUAGCGGUGAAAUGCAUAGAUAUCACGCAGAACUCCGAUUGCGAAGGCAGCAUACCGGCGCUCAACUGACGCUGAUGCACGAAAGUGUGGGUAUCGAACAGGAUUAGAUACCCUAGUAGUC
rnacentral:rRNA from 1 species